rnacentral:rRNA from 1 species
CAGGCCUAACACAUGCAAGUCGAGCGGAUGACGGGAGCUUGCUCCUUGAUUCAGCGGCGGACGGGUGAGUAAUGCCUAGGAAUCUGCCUGGUAGUGGGGGACAACGUUUCGAAAGGAACGCUAAUACCGCAUACGUCCUACGGGAGAAAGCAGGGGACCUUCGGGCCUUGCGCUAUCAGAUGAGCCUAGGUCGGAUUAGCUAGUUGGUGGGAUAAUGGCUCACCAAGGCGACGAUCCGUAACUGGUCUGAGAGGAUGAUCAGUCACACUGGAACUGAGACACGGUCCAGACUCCUACGGGAGGCAGCAGUGGGGAAUAUUGGACAAUGGGCGAAAGCCUGAUCCAGCCAUGCCGCGUGUGUGAAGAAGGUCUUCGGAUUGUAAAGCACUUUAAGUUGGGAGGAAGGGCAGUAAGCUAAUACCUUGCUGUUUUGACGUUACCGACAGAAUAAGCACCGGCUAACUCUGUGCCAGCAGCCGCGGUAAU